AUGAGAAAUUGCCCACCAAAACACUUGUCCAGAGGCAGCGUCAGACGAGAAGGGACACUCCUUGUGCCGCGGGGCAGGGAUGCCACCUGGUCCUCAGCGCACCAGGAAAGCACUCGGUGCUGUGGGAGCGCAGGCUUCCGCUGGUGGCUGCGAUGGAGACACCUGGGGGGCGUCGCCAGGAUUUUAUUUAAUACUCAGUCGGCUGCUGGGAAACAGGUGGCUGCAUCUCCGCUGGGGCCUGAGCCUCUCUUGGCAGCUGGGUGCUGCUGCAGGGGCUUGGAGUUUGCUUUGUCCUCCUGCUGUGGCGCUCUGCCUGCCCCUGGGUGCCGGCCUCAGCAGCUGAGCCUGAGCCUCCAGGACAGAGUACUGCGAUUGGAUUCAGAAGCACAACAGCAAAUUGCUGACAACCUUUACAUACGCGUGUGUGUGUGUCUUUGUGGUUUUAGUGUGGAUCCUCAGCUCCGCAGGGCACUGCCAGCCCCUCGGCACAGCAUCCUCCAACUCCUCCUCCUCCUGCUCCCCCCGGGCUGGGGCUGCUCGUUCUGCUCCGCGUUCGUGCUGGCACCUCCAGCUCCUGGGGACACAGAACCGCAGCCCAGUUGUCGCCAUACAGCAGAGGGAAUCUUUGGCAGCGUUUCAGUGCGUCAUUAUGCCAGAAAGGUGCCUUUGGAAGACAGAAAUAAAUUGGAAGCAUGGGGAUUCAUUGUGAAAUGCCUGCCAGAGGUGCGACGUAUUCAGGCUCAGAGGAGCUCAGCCCCUCGGUGCCAGCGGUGGGCAGUGUGGGAAAGGGCGACCCUUCCUGUGCCCUGGGCCAGCCGAGCCAGCAGCAGCGCGGCUCCCCUGGGGCCCUCUGGCCCCGUGGCAUCGCCUGCAGCCUGCCGCCUGCGGUGAAAAAGCUUAGAAAAAGUGUAGAUGAAUAUAGACUGUGCCUUUUGUAUGUGUGUACUAUUGAUUGGGUAUAUUUUAGCUCCUUGUUGGCAUAGCUUAUGAAACUGCCCUAUUUCAUCACUGUAGUGACUAAAACAACCGCUAACACAAAUCAUGUUACUUGGGCUGUUAUUGUUGGAUCCUGCAAGGAGUGGAAGCACAGUGUUUUUACUCUUAGUUUCUUGUUGCUGUUAAAGUUACGGGCACCAGCCCUGUGCAGCCUUGCUUCUGGAGAACUUUAAAUCUCAGCUUUGCCUCUUAUUUUGUAUGUAAACAACACCCAGAGGUGAAUGCCACCGAAGCAUGGGAGUUUCCUGAUGCAGAUUUGUGUAUGUGAUCCAAAUCUAAUUGAAUCCAUCCUUAUUUAGUCAGGAGUAGAAACUAAGUUGCGAAGAGCCGAGAUCUGUCUCUUGUCCCUUACCUGCUGUAGGAUUUGUCUGGUUUGGCAGAACGAGGGCUGGUUGUGGAUCCGUAUGCACAGAUGCAGUAGCACCUUUGACAGCGAGCAGUCCCUGCCUGUGAGACAUUUGUCACGUACAGAUUGCCUGCACAAGGACAGCUCUGUUACAUAGCAUAUGAACACAAACACAUUUUCUGAAAGCAAUUGUAUGCAUAUCAUGUUUAUCCCCCUAAACUAAAGCGUAUAUAUUCAGAAUCAUUCCUGGGGAAUGCAUUUUAAAUCUCGUUUUCAGAAAACGAAAUGUUCCCGAGGUGUCUGUGGCCUGACGCUGGCAGCAGGCCCCGCCGGGCCACAGGGCCUGUGGCACCCGCCAGGCGCCAUUUUGCUCGCCCCCCUUUCACUGCCCUGGAGGCCAUUUAG
rnacentral:lncRNA from 1 species